CAGGCCUGUAUCCAAUCGACCGACCAUCGAACACUUGCUACGAAACACUCAACACUUGUACAUUCGUCGCGACUAUACUCGUUUAAAUCUAUACCAAUUAUUCGCUAACGACUCGAACGAAGGACCGAAUGAACGAUAAAGUUCGCCACAUCGAGGGUCUCCGUAUCCGCUGACGUCACGUCGACCCGACGACCUCACCGAACUUUGCGCCACAUUAACAUGCCGAUUUACAAGCGUUUAUGUGCGUUCGAUUUCCGCUCGAAGGAACAUUCGGAAUCAAAUGACGGCGUCACCUAAGAAACGUCGCUUGGUAACCAGCAUCAUCCGACACGCUGCAUCGACCGGAUCCGUUUGAAACAUUUCGAUUUUAAUUACGAUACACAGCUGUACGACGAUGAUCCGCAGGAAUUGGUCUCUAUCUCGAUCAUUCUCACAGGGUAAUGUCUGCGUUGACAAGUGGUCUUAAUUAAACGGAUUAAAAUACGAUCCAUCGUUGAUUCGUUUAUCGAAAACUAUCAUUAAAACUGCUUUUAUCUCAUGACAAUCGAUCGUUUCGAUUACGAAAACUAUAGUUCAAUUACUUGGAAAUGAUAAACUGAAACUGCACGGAUCGAGGCAGAUGUAAAUCCGCUGUUGCGUAAGGACGAUGCCCAAAGAGCCACUUGGGAGAGAGUGACAGUUAGAGUGCAUAGAGGUUAGAGGAAUAUAUAAAGUAAAAAAUAAAUAAGUCUAUUAUAUUUCAACGAAAAUCUUGUUAUUUUAUAAACAAUAAUGGUACAUCAAAGCAUCAGGACGCGUUAGAAAACGAUUAAUUCAACUUUAUUUUCUAUCGUUUCGAAAUUCUCAAUUUAAAAAUUAUUCAUAAUAUCGUAGUUGUACCAGUGCUACUAUCGUACGGUAGCUCAGCGCAACUAGAACAUUACGUUAUAGUCGGUCGGUAAGUUCCUCGGUUGAUCAUAACCUAUAUGUUGAUUUCCGAAUGUAACGCGUAGAAAACAACAGUAACACUAACAUGUUACUCAUAGUUCGUAAAUCGUAUAGAUGAUUUCAACGUACGUUUAUUUACAUUUCCUUUCAGCGAUCCGCAAUGGCAAAGCACUCGAGGCUAAUUCAUACGCUUCCAUUAGAGAGUCUUUAUAAUCUACUCCUUUGAAUACAGUCUGCAAUAAAGGUUUCAGUGAAUAUCUACGUUUUUUGUAAUACAUGAAAGUGUCAACACUGUCGCAAAUGAUUCCAGGCCACCAUGGAUGACGAGGUACACGAGCCCACACAAUACUCCCAGCGUUGUAAUCAUUUUCUAUCAACGACCACUAUUCAUCUUGCAAUACCAUAUCUUGGGUAUAUCCAAUGGAUCGUGGCAAUCUUCUAUGUAUCUCCAUUUCUUGCAACUUGUUUUACAACACUCAACCCAUAUACCAACUUCUCUUUGAGACUGUAACCAGUACAAUCUCUGUUUCCAAUCUAAAUAGCUGUGGUUCUCCGACUCCACUAUGGUGUUUGAACUAGACACUAAAAAGUAAGCAAAGUCCUAUUUCACUUGUACAAUAAGCCUAGAGUAAAACAUCCAACACAGUUGAAGUUUGCACAAAUUUUACUUGUCACAAAUCUAUGGCUUGUAAACUAGCAUUAUAUUAUACAAUCUUAUUACAACUUUUCUUCUUAGAAGUAACAUACUUAUAUAAUUAAAUUAACAACUAGCCAU